GUGGUCUAGAUUGCUCCACAUCAACAUAUGAUUUUAGAGCUUUGGAGGGUAGGAUUGUCUUUUUACACAUGUUGUAUCAUUUCAUACACACACCCCAAUACAUGACUGUAAGUCAUUUCAUUCACCAUCAUCAGUUUUGCACUUCACCCCACCCUCUUACCAACUCCUUCAUCUUUCUCUCUCUAAAAAACAUCAAGAACACUUUUUUUUUUCAAUUUUAUCAGAUUUGAACAAACCGUUUCUCAAAGACCUAGAUGUAGAUCUUAUACUCAUUCCUUUCUAUUGAAGCUACCAAAUCUGAGGAUCGAAGCAAUUAUCGAAGCUCUUCAAAAAAAGAAAGUAAGGUGGUGAUUCUACUAGAUGGCAUAUCCUGUUACUACAACCCGUAGCUACACAUGUUACAUUUUUUUACAGCUACAUAUGUAACGACCCUUUGUUAUAUAUGUUAAUGACCAACUUGUUGGAAUAGGUUAAUGGAGUUUAUGCAAGAGAUGAGUCAGCAAAGGUAGCAUAUAAACAGCAAAGACAGACCGUCAAUGGAAGCUCCACCGCUUCUUAGUGAUCUGUGCUUUCGUUUACUAGUAAUAUGUAAUGUGAGACUCUUAUUAUUUUGUCUAGGACGUGUUGUUAAAAAUGUUCUGGCCUUCCGAACUUCUGCCCUGAAUUCGACCUCAGCAUAUUUGUGUUGCUUUUGGGCUCUAUGCAUCCAUUUUUGUGUAACUUGCUUGUAGGCAAUGUAGCUUUUUACAAGUUCACCAGUACAUUAAUCUCUAACAGAUGUUAUGUGUAACUUGCUGAAAGUCUUAACACACGUUAUAAUAGAGCCUUGACACACGUUAUAUCAGUUAUACCGUUAUGGGUAUAGUAAACGGCCCACCAUUUUUCUUAGUGCUAUGUAUUUUCGUUUACUAGUAAUAUGUAAUGUGAGAGUCUUAUUGUUUUGUCUA